rnacentral:rRNA from 1 species
GACGAACGCUGGCGGCGUGCUUAACACAUGCAAGUCGAACGGAAAGGCCCUGCUUUUGUGGGAUGCUCGAGUGGCGAACGGGUGAGUAACACGUGAGUAACCUGCCCUUGACUUUGGGAUAACUUCAGGAAACUGGGUCUUAUACCGGAUAGGACCUCCUGCUGCAUGGUGGGGGUUGGAAAUUUUCGGCGGUUGGGGAUGGACUCGCGGCUUAUCAGGUUGUUGGGGGGUUAGUGGCUUACCAAGGCGUUGACGGGUAGCCGGCCUGAGAGGGUGACCGGCCACAUUGGGACUGAGAUACGGCCAAGACUCCUACGGGAGGCAGCAGUGGGGAAUAUUGAACAAUGGGCGGAGGCCUGAUGCAGCAACGCCGCGUGCGGGAUGACGGCCUUCGGGUGGUAAACCGCUUUCGCCUGGGACGAAGCGUGAGUGACGGUAAUGGGUAAAGAAGCACCGGCUAACUACGUG